AACUCUUAGUGGUGGAUCAGUUGGCUCAGGCAUCGAUGAAGAACCCAGCUAUCUGCAAGAAUUAAUAUGAAUUGCAGGACACAUUGAUCCUCGACACUUCAAAACACUUUGCGGCCCUGGGUUCCUCCCAGGGCUAUGCCUGUCUGAGCAUGG
ensembl:rRNA 5_8S_rRNA 5.8S ribosomal RNA